CUGUUCGGCAGCCUUCUACACUACACACUACAGGCAGCAAACAAAAAGGGUUAUAUGGGGUUAAGUGGUUUCUGGAGGCUACUAUGAAGAGGGUUAGAAUUUGUCUGUUUUCGUUUGCUUGCUCGAGUGAUAUUUGGGCACAAGUGUUCUCUUAGGAUUGGGCACACUGCUGAACACUCUUGUUAGUUCCAGUGAGUUGUUUCUUCCUGCUUGGAUUCAGGAAACAGACCGUGCAAUCCAGAUGACCAUCCAACCAACAGGUUCUCCUCUCCGAGUCUCCGAUAGUGAAGGAGAGAGUGCUAGAUGGAGCUUAACCAAGGAUGAAGAGAGAGAACAGUUUUAUUCCAGGACAUUUAGUUACAGGUCCACAGUGUUUGAGUGUUUCUCCUCCAAAGUGUUGCUCUAUUUGACUACAUAAUACACCUUAUUUGAGAAGUUUUACCUGAAACGUCUGGGAGCACGACGAUUACUCAGGUGGCAACUAUCAACUUCUCAACCACAGUGGCAGCUUCCAUCUCCACGCCUGCCUCUGACAGAGUAAAGCACAACAAGACAAAUCCCGGAGCUGGAGUCCCGGAGCUGGAGUCCCGGAGCUGAAGUCCCGGAGCUGAAGUCCCGGAGCUGGAGUCCUGGAGCUGAAGUCCCAGAGCUGAAGUCCCGGAGCUGGAAUCCCGGAGCUGGAGUCCCGGAGCUGAAGUCCCGGAGCUUAAGUCCCGGAGCUGAAGUCCCGGAGCUGAAGUCCCA
ensembl:lncRNA